rnacentral:rRNA from 1 species
UACGUAGGGUGCGAGCGUUAAUCGGAAUUACUGGGCGUAAAGCGUGCGCAGGCGGCGCGUUAAGACAGGUGUGAAAGCCCCGAGCUUAACUUGGGAAUUGCGCUUGUGACUGGCGUGCUGGAGUGUGGCAGAGGGAGGUGGAAUUCCACGUGUAGCAGUGAAAUGCGUAGAGAUGCGGAGGAACACCGAUGGCGAAGGCAGCCCUCUGGGCCAACACUGACGCUCAGGCACGAAAGCGUGGGGAGCAAACAGG